AUUGAGCGCUGGCGGCAUGCCUUACACAUGCAAGUCGAACGGCAGCGCGGACUUCGGUCUGGCGGCGAGUGGCGAACGGGUGAGUAAUACAUCGGAACGUACCCUGUUGUGGGGGAUAACUAGUCGAAAGAUUAGCUAAUACCGCAUACGACCUGAGGGUGAACGUGGGGGACCGGAAACGGCCUCAUGCAGCAGGAGCGGCCGAUGUCUGAUUAGCUAGUUGGUGGGGUAAAGGCCCACCAAGGCGACGAUCAGUAGCUGGUCUGAGAGGACGAUCAGCCACACUGGGACUGAGACACGGCCCAGACUCCUACGGGAGGCAGCAGUGGGGAAUUUUGGACAAUGGGGGCAACCCUGAUCCAGCAAUGCCGCGUGUGUGAAGAAGGCCUUCGGGUUGUAAAGCACUUUUGUCCGGAAAGAAAUCGCGCUGGUUAAUACCUGGCGUGGAUGACGGUACCGGAAGAAUAAGCACCGGCUAACUACGUG
rnacentral:rRNA from 1 species